UUUCCGUAGGUGAACCUGCGGAAGGAUCAUUAUGGUAGAACCGGGGCGCGAGGGCUGUCGCUGACCCGAAAGUUGGGGCACUCCCGAGUGCCCUAACACACAUCCAUCUCACCCCUAUGUGCACCACCGCGUGGGUCCCCCUUUGGCUUGUUCGGAGGGGGGCUUACGUUUUCACACAAACUUUGUAUGCAGUGUAGAAUGUAUUUUUUGUUUUUGCGAUCACGCAAUCAAUACAACUUUCAACAACGGAUCUCUUGGCUCUC
rnacentral:misc_RNA from 1 species